AAAAAAAAAAAAAUUAGGGCACAAUUAUCGUCUUCUUCCUCAUGAGUUACCUGCGAAUCUGCACAAAACCUGUAGACUCCGGCAAAUAUAACCUAAUGAUUAUUAUCCCAACUAGUCCUCCACUCCGUCUGUGAAGCCAUAACCUUCAUAAGCUUUCCUCCGGUCAGGAAACAGAAGAAAAGGAUAAAACUUGGAGGUAUCCUCCUCUCCAAAUCACCGUUGUUGAUACGCAACAUAGUUUGUGGUUUUCGAUUGAACCCGUCAAUUAGAAGUUGCCCAGAGAUGGCUUAUGAAUUGAGUGAACAGAAAAAGGUUGGGUUGGGUCUCCUUGGCUUUGGCAUCCUUUUCACAUUUCUGGGUGUGAUGCUUUUCUUCGACAGAGGCUUGCUUGCUCUAGGGAAUAUAUUUUGGUUGACUGGGGUGGCCCUUUUACUUGGUUGGCGUUCUACAUGGAAUCUCUUCACUAGCAAAGCAAACUUAAAGGGCUCUGUAUCUUUUCUUCUUGGUCUCUUUUUCCUUUUCGUUCGGUGGCCAAUAGUUGGUAUAAUCUUGGAAAUAUAUGGCUGCCUUAACUUGUUCGGUCGUUUUUGGCCAUCUGUGAAGGCAUUCCUCUAUGAAGUUCCCAUGUUGGGAUGGAUCAUAAGGUUUCUAUUCUGACAUGAUUGUUAAAAUGAAAUCUCGCUGCAAAAGUUUUGGAUGGACGAUUCAAGACAAGGAAUGGUCUGAUUCUUGAUCAACUUCAGGGCAGUGAUGCUUGACGUCUACUUAUAUAACAGCUCGUGUCUCACAGGGUUUCCUGAUUCUUCAGAAGCCGAACAAGGUCUAAGCAACUGGCUUCUCAUGGGUUUAAGAUUCCAUCAUCAGAUGAGUGAAAAAGAAGAAAGAGACUAGUAGUACUGGGUAGCAUAUCAUCCAUCACACUUAAAAUGUUGUGUAACAAAAUAAGUUUUAAAUGCAUAUGAAUUCAGAUUCUGUUGGUAAUAGUUGUAAAUGAGAGAUGAGCAAGUGAGAUGGAUUAUUUGAUGUCUUUAUUUUCCAAUAAAAAAAAAUCGAAAAACAAAAAGCGAAAAUGUUAGCGCAGAGAUGGAUACGGACGAGCAAUUUUUAGGUGUAUUUCGAUUACCAUCACGUUUCGUGACUAUUACACAUGUUCUAA